CUCGUUUGCCUCUGUGAAACGUCAUCUGCCUUUUGAUGUAGGAGGCUCAGGGAAUUUAGAAUAUCAAUCAACACUCCCUUGGAAAAAUCCUAACUCUGGCGGCUGAGUAGAGGGCUCGACCUCUAAAGAAGGAAGCGACUGAGUAGAUGGCAAGUACCCCUCACCUUUGACAUGAGACACAGCACCAUCCCAAACACUAAAACGAGAGAUGACAUGAUGGUCAAUGGCCGACAUAGGUGGUUGAGAUAACUCAUUUGGUCACCACUGAAUAUUCGCUCGCUUACACAACCGGGUGAUCAAGGAUGGAUGUGAAAG
rnacentral:lncRNA from 1 species